rnacentral:rRNA from 1 species
GAUGAACGCUGGCGGCGUGCCUAAUACAUGCAAGUCGAACGCUUCACUUCGGUGAAGAGUGGCGCACGGGUGAGUAAUACAUAAGUAACCUGGCAUCUACAGGGGGAUAACUGAUGGAAACGUCAGCUAAGACCGCAUAGGUGUAGAGAUCGCAUGAACUCUAUAUGAAAAGUGCUACGGGACUGGUAGAUGAUGGAAUUAUGGCGCACUAGCUUGUUGGUAGGGUAACGGCCUACCAAGGCGACGAUGCGUAGCCGACCUGAGAGGGUGAGCCGCCACACUGGGACUGAGACACGGCCCAGACUCCUACGGGAGGCAGCAGUAGGGAAUUUUCGGCAAGGGGGGAAACCCUGACCGAGCAACGCCGCGUGAAGGAAGAAGUAAUUCGUUAUGUAAACUUCUGUCAUAGUGGAAGAACGGUGGAUAUAUGGAAUGAUAUCCUAGUGACGGUACUCUAUAAGAAAGCCACGGCUAACUACGUG